UCCAGUACCAGAGAGAGACAAGGACAGUAAAACCGGUAGUGCAGAGAAACACAGAUCAGAAAGGAACAGAGAUAAAGACCGGGACAAAGACCCAGAGACCGCAACUGGCACACUAUUACUAGAGACUGGGACAUAGAGAGAUCGAUGAGGGUUAGGCAUGGGGAUGAGUCUAUAGACGGCCCAUUGAGCUCCUAGCUCAUACGCCUGGCCUCGUAUACCAAAGGCUGUUUGCUCAUGCCUACCUCAUGGUCAUCUAGGAUGGCAACCAUACUCCCGCCACCGACAGUAACGCUCCGUAGAUGGCAUAACCACAGCAGCCCGCUACACCAUUGCCCUUCCCUCCAGGGAGGGGUUAUCCCCCUGGUACCAGGCCCCCGAUAUCAUGCUUUCCUGUAAUUAUGGUCCCCUGGUACCAGCUGUUCUGGAAUCAUGCCCGCUGGGUGCCAUGCUGCCUGGUAUCAAGCCCCUCCUACCACCCCCCCUCCAGCUCACAUCUACCCAGCCUGGCUAGCACCUCCAGCUCUCAUCACCCAGCCUGCUGAGCACCUCCAGCUCACAAUCUGCCCAGCCGCUAGCAACCUCCCACUCACAUUCUACCCAGCCUGCUAGCAACCUCCAGCUUCACAUCUGCACCAGCCUGCUAUGGAGAACCAGAGAGGCGCAGUCACCAGAGGGAGCAUGGAGAACCAGAGAGGCGCAGUCACCAGAGGGAGCAUGGAGAACCAGAGAGGCACAGUCACCAGAGGGAGUACGGAGAACUGAGCUCAGGACAAUGGAAGGAUAGCCUUAAGAGAGACAACGGCCAGGCUAUGGCCAGAGAGCUCUACAGUGAAUACUCCAGCAUGAGGAGGAUUAGAGAAGGUUGGGGGGACUAUGGUGCUUCCUCUGAUAUGAGCUACAUAAUGGACCCAUCGUCCAGAGACUGGAGUGAAGGCUCAUUGAGGGGUAGUGGUGCUCCCUUCUCCCCAGACACAGAUGGGGAUGUUGAUGGAGAUCCUGUGGAGCUCAGUGUGGAGGACCUGGAGCUCAUAGAGGAGAAGAGAGCUGUUCUCGCUUUGCAAAAGGUUAAACGCGGAGCUAAGGACAUGCCUAAAACACAGACUGCAUACACAACAGCGAAGGGCAUGUCUAAACCGAGGAAGGCGAACAAUAGAACAUUCAACAGUAAUGUCGCGGACCAGUCGUCACGCAUAUGCCUACCUCUUAAACGGAGGGUGCUGGACAUUCUGAGUAAGGAUACCCCUGCCAAGCUGAAGAAACAAAACAAGAUGCAAGCAUUGGAUCUGAUGAUUAGAGCUCCCCUAGAAAAUGAAGAGGCCCGUCCUCUGAGACUGAGGGUUUUAAUGAACCAGCGACGCUAUCCCGACAAUGAGGUGGUCCCGAAUGAUAAACGGCAAAUUCAGAGGCCAGUUCAUUCACUCAGGACACAGGAGAAAGACAUAGCAGCCACAGGCUUCCAGCGCUUCCUCAAUGUCCUCAAUGAAGGGGUGGACCUCAACAAGCUCUCAAAGAUCGUCAACAACAAAAAUGGGUUACUCAUUGUGGGCGAGGAGCUACCACAAGUUUGGCCGACUCUGCCCGAGGGUCAUGUUGACUCCAGCAGUAGAUCCAAGUCUU
rnacentral:lncRNA from 1 species